rnacentral:rRNA from 1 species
AGUGAACGCUGGCGGCAGGCCUAAUACAUGCAAGUCGAACGGCAGCACAGUGGAGCUUGCUCCAUGGGUGGCGAGUGGCGGACGGGUGAGGAAUACAUGGGAAUCUGCCCAGUCGUGGGGGAUAACGUAGGGAAACUUACGCUAAUACCGCAUGCGCCCUUCGGGGGAAAGCCGGGGACCUUCGGGCCUGGCGCGAUUGGAUGAGCCCAUGUUCGAUUAGCUAGUUGGCGGGGUAAAGGCCCACCAAGGCGACGAUCGAUAGCUGGUCUGAGAGGAUGAUCAGCCACACUGGGACUGAGACACGGCCCAGGCUCCUACGGGAGGCAGCAGUAGGGAAUAUUGGACAAUGGGCGCAAGCCUGAUCCAGCCAUGCCGCGUGAGUGAAGAAGGCCCUCGGGUUGUAAAGCUCUUUUGUCCGGGAAGAAAAGCAUCGGGCUAAUACCUCGGUGUUCUGACGGUACCGGAAGAAUAAGCACCGGCUAACUUCGUG